GAAUCAUCCAAAUUAGAUAAAAGGGAAUAAGUAAUUCCAUCACUACCAGGAGCAGAGUCUACAGUAUUAGACAAAACGCCUCUCAAUUCUUUCAACGAAAAUGGCAAACUUAACCCUGAUUCAUCAUUUGAAACUAAAACUUUACCAAGAACUAUUUGUUGUUGGGCUAUCGGAGGGGCUAACUUAUCAAUGAACUGUUCAGCAAUAUCAAGAGACAUAAUUAACUUGAGCGACUCAAAGUUCUCGAUAGUCAUACCAUAUCGAUAUCGUUCUUCAGCCUCUUUACGCCUUUUAACAGCUGAGAAGCAGCAAUGACUGAAUAGUCAUCACUAUGAGAAGGAAGAUUAAUUAAAGAAAAGGGAUAACAAUUGCUAAUGAGCAAGGCAACACCGCCAUGCCCAUCAGUUCUGUCUUCGCGAAGACAGGAAAAGCCUGGGAUCUUAAACCUGAACUCAGGUCUAAGCCAGGUCUCAGAUAAAGAAAUAAUAAAAGGAUUAAA